AUUCCAGCUCCAAUAGCGUAUAUUAAAGUUGUUGCAGUUAAAAAGCUCGUAGUUGGAUUUCUGGCUUGGUAUGGGUGGUCCACCUCUGGUGAGCACUGCUCGACCGAGCCUUCCUCUCGAAGACCACGUGUGCCCUUAACUGGGUGUGCGUGGGAGUCGGGACCUUUACUUUGAAAAAAUUAGGGUGUUCAAAGCAGGCAAUCGCUUGAAUACAUUAGCAUGGAAUAAUGGAAUAGGACUUUGGUUCUAUUUUGUUGGUUUCUAGGACUGAAGUAAUGAUUAAUAGGGAUAGUUGGGGGCAUUAGUAUUUAAUUGUCAGAGGUGAAAUUCUUAGAUUUAUGAAAGACUAACUUCUGCGAAAGCGUUUGCCAAGGAUGUUUUCAUUG
rnacentral:rRNA from 1 species